rnacentral:pre_miRNA from 1 species
UUUAGAACUUGAGGUAUAGGCUGAACACUGAAUAGUGUUUGGGCUGCAAGACAAAUUUAGACUUCUCUUUUAUUGCUAAGAUUUGAUCUUGAAAACGACAAUAUUGGAUCUUAAACUCUUCAUGAAUGUUUUAGGUCUAUGUCUUAGCUUUCCAUC